AUGAACGCUGACAGAAUGCUUCACACAUGCAAGUCAACUUGAACUUCGGUUUGGGUGGCGGACGGGUGAGUAACGCGUAAAGAACUUGCCUCACAGCUAGGGACAACAUUUGGAAACGAAUGCUAAUACCUGAUAUUAUGAUUAUAUGGCAUCGUAUAAUUAUGAAAGCUAUAUGCGCUGUGAGAGAGCUUUGCGUCCCAUUAGCUAGUUGGAGAGGUAACAGCUCACCAAGGCGAUGAUGGGUAGCCGGCCUGAGAGGGUGAUCGGCCACAAGGGGACUGAGACACGGCCCUUACUCCUACGGGAGGCAGCAGUGGGGAAUAUUGGACAAUGGACCGAGAGUCUGAUCCAGCAAUUCUGUGUGCACGAUGAAGUUUUUCGGAAUGUAAAGUGCUUUCAGUUGGGAAGAAAAAAAUGACGGUACCAACAGAAGAAGUGACGGCUAAAUACGUG
rnacentral:rRNA from 1 species